UCGUGAGAUGUUGGGUUAAGUCCCGCAACGAGCGCAACCCUUGUCUUUAAUUGCCAGCAUUUAAGUUGGGCACUUUAGAGAGACUGCCGGUGUUAAGCCGGAGGAAGUGGGGAUGACGUCAAGUCCUCAUGGGCCUUUAUGUCCAGGGCUACACACGUGCUACAAUGGAUGGUACAAAGAGCAGCGAUCUCGCGAGAGGGAGCAAAGUCUCAAAAAGCCGCUCUCAGUUCGGAUUGCAGGCUGCAACUCGCCUGCAUGAAGCCGGAAUCGCUAGUAAUCGCGGAUCAGCAUGCUGCGGUGAAUACGUUCCCGGGUCUU
rnacentral:rRNA from 1 species